rnacentral:rRNA from 1 species
UCCAGACUCCUACGGGAGGCAGCAGUGGGGAAUAUUGCACAAUGGGGGAAACCCUGAUGCAGCGACGCCGCGUGAGUGAAGAAGUAUUUCGGUAUGUAAAGCUCUAUCAGCAGGGAAGAAGAAAGACGGUACCUGACUAAGAAGCCCCGGCUAACUACGUGCCAGCAGCCGCGGUAAUACGUAGGGGGCAAGCGUUAUCCGGAUUUACUGGGUGGAAAGGGAGCGUAGACGGCAGUGCAAGUCUGAAGUGAAAGGCGGGGGCCCAACCCCCGGACUGCUUUGGAAACUGUGCUGCUGGAGUGCAGGAGAGGCAAGUGGAAUUCCUAGUGUAGCGGUGAAAUGCGUAGAUAUUAGGAGGAACACCAGUGGCGAAGGCGGCGUGCUGGACUGUAACUGACGUUGAGGCUCGAAAGCGUGGGGAGCAAACAGGAUUAGAUACCCGAGUAUUG